AGCGAACGCUGGCGGCAGGCCUAACACAUGCAAGUCGAACGAAGUCUUCGGACUUAGUGGCGGACGGGUGAGUAACACGUGGGAACGUGCCUUUAGGUUCGGAAUAACUCAGGGAAACUUGUGCUAAUACCGAAUGUGCCCUUCGGGGGAAAGAUUUAUCGCCUUUAGAGCGGCCCGCGUCUGAUUAGCUAGUUGGUGAGGUACAGGCUCACCAAGGCGACGAUCAGUAGCUGGUCUGAGAGCAUGAUCAGCCACAUUGGGACUGAGACACGGCCCAAACUCCUACGGGAGGCAGCAGUGGGGAAUCUUGCGCAAUGGGCGAAAGCCUGACGCAGCCAUGCCGCGUGAAUGAUGAAGGUCUUAGGAUUGUAAAAUUCUUUCACCGGGGACGAUAAUGACGGUACCCGGAGAAGAAGCCCCGGCUAACUUCGUGCCAGCCGCCGCGGUAA
rnacentral:rRNA from 1 species